UUCUCUCUCAUGUGGGCGCAAAUCCUCUGAAGUAAAUUGCGGUGCGGUCCCCUGCGGUGCGGCCCUUAAGGCGCGUUUGGCUUGAAAUAAAACAAAUUAAGUCAAACAGUGUUAACCCCAGUUAUAUGUAUUUAAUACUAUAUACCCGGUUAUCCCCAGCUGUAUUAUACUACAUACUCCAAGUUAAAAUAUAUACUAUAAACCUCCAAAUUCUCACACGGCUAUCCUGCAGCACCAAAGUACCAGAAACAAAAUUUUGAUUAGGGGUUUCAUCUUCAAAGAUCGAUCUUUGUGAGUUAGGGUUUCUUAAGCCAAGAAGAUGUGGACUAGGUAUGCUUCAAGAGAACAAUAUCAACUCUCACUCCAAGCCCUAACUCUAACUCGAUAGCAGGAUAUCUCAAAAACAAUCACAAAUCAAGCCCUGAAUCCGUCGAAGCAGAGUGAAUCAAAAAAGCUUGGACUUUUUUCUAGGCAUAUUGUUUGGCAAAACUUGAGGAGGCUUUGCAUGGUUUGUGACUAAUUCAAAAGAAUCACAAAGGGGAGUAAAGUUCAUAAGAUGGUACUGUGAUUAUUUGGAAUAUCUGAAGGGAGAGUAAUCUUAGAUUACAUGAGGAUCAAACAAGGUCUGCUAGCUACUUUUGUAUAUUUAGAAGCACUACUCUGUAUGGGGCUUGAGGAUAUGGAGUUGCUUUGAAUUUCUUAAUUCUGUUAUAUUUAUCCUUUUGGUUAGUUUUUUUAAAAAUACUGGUAGUUUAUGUUUUGUAAAAUUUUUCUUAGCUCUGUUUUUUGCUGUAUUUUUUUGUAUCAAUAAAACCCACCAGAUUCAAAGGGGAAAAAAAAAGUUAGAAUUUUGUAUGUUGUCUAAA